GACGAACGCUGGCGGCGUGCUUAACGCAUGCAAGUCGAACGGAAAGGCCCUGCUUGCCGGGUACUCGAGUGGCGAACGGGUGAGUAACACGUGGGUGAUCUGCCCUGCACUUCGGGAUAAGCUUGGGAAACUGGGUCUAAUACCGGAUAGGAACCAUCUUUAGUGUGGUGGUUGGAAAGUUUUUUCGGUGUAGGAUGAGCUCGCGGCCUAUCAGCUUGUUGGUGGGGUAAUGGCCUACCAAGGCGGCGACGGGUAGCCGGCCUGAGAGGGUGUACGGCCACAUUGGGACUGAGAUACGGCCCAGACUCCUACGGGAGGCAGCAGUGGGGAAUAUUGCACAAUGGGCGCAAGCCUGAUGCAGCGACGCCGCGUGGGGGAUGAAGGCCUUCGGGUUGUAAACUCCUUUCGCUAGGGACGAAGCUUUGUUGUGACGGUACCUAGAUAAGAAGCACCGGCUAACUACGUG
rnacentral:rRNA from 1 species